UAAUCUGCCCUGAGGUCAGGGAUAUCUACGGGAAACUGUGGUUAAUACCUGAUAAGGAAUAAUUAUUGGAAUAUAUUAUUCUACAAAUUCGAGCCUUAGGAUGAGGCGGCGACCGAUUAGGCUGUUGGCGGUGUAAUGGACCACCAAACCAAAGAUCGGUACGGGCCAUGAGAGUGGUAGCCCGGAGAGGGACACUGAGAUACUGGUCCCAGCCCUACGGGGUGCAGCAGGCGCGAAACCUCUACAAUGCACGCAAGUGUGAUAGGGGGAUCCCGAGUGCUCAAGCACAGCUUGGGCUUUUGCUUAGUGUAAAUAGCUAGGCGAAUAAGUGGUGGGCAAGACUGGUGCCAGCCGCCGCGGUAACACCAGCGCCACGAGUGGCAAUCGCGUUUAUUGGGCCUAAAGCGUCCGUAGCAGGUUUUGUAAAUCUCUUGUGAAAUUGCCAGGCUUAACUUGGCAGUGUGCAGGGGACACUGCAAAACUUGAGACCGGGAAGGGUCAGAGGUAUUCCUGAGGGAGCGGUAAAAUGCUAUAAUCUCAGGAGGACCACCUGUGGCGAAGGCGUCUGACUAGAACGGAUCUGACUGUGAGGGACGAAAGCCAGGGGAGCAAACCGGAUUAGAUACCCGAGUAGUCCUGGCCGUAAACGCUGCGAGCUAGGUGUCGCGUAUUCUACGGGAAUGCGCGGUGUCGAAAGGAAGCUAUUAAGCUCGCCGCCUGGGAAGUACGGUCGCAAGACUGAAACUUUA
rnacentral:rRNA from 1 species